AUUUUUCUUUUUGAGUCACUGAUAUGACUUGGCCUUCCUCCUGUAUUAGGAUACUAGCCUCAUUAUUAAAGAUACCUGCUUGUAACUAUUCAUUAUUUAUUGGUUGAGAGAUUUAGUGGUCCUGCCAUAACGCUCCGAUCUCGCCAGACCCUAUACCAGGAAAUAGGGAAUAACAAUACAAUUCUGUUACUCCGCAUUAACUGUGCAGUAAUAUGUGCUAUUAUCAAUUUAGGUGUGUGACUUUCAUUUGCAUGCCACACCAGGCACUACAGGAGCCUCUGCUUUGGUUUAACCUCUCUGCAUCCAUCACUAUGGUCAUAUAGGAACCUAAACGUUGCUUAACCACAAUAAUAGAUCUUGUUAUCAAAUUGUGUCACACUGCAACCUAUUAAGGGUACGGCCUUACUCAGAACCCUGUGGAUCUGACUCCCACAGGGGGUGAAGUUGUUGUCCAGACACGCUUGUGCCCGGUGUAUUUUUCCAACUUCCCUUAGUCCUGCUUCGCGUAUAUAUCCACUGGCGUUAUUUGACAUCCCACAGUUACUGAUGAGAGUAUGUCAUAGAUGUGUGCGGCGCCCAGAAGACGCGUAGUGCGAAACAUGUCGGCGACCAGCCCUCUACUCAUCUAACUAUUGUCAUAUCUUAUCUACAACAGGGCAAUCAAUGAUUUCUGUCAUUGUAUUUUUUAUUUAUUUUUGUUUUCAUGUAUUUAUAUUAAAUUUUGAUACUUUUCUAUAUAUGUUUCUAUGUUACAUUAUUAGCUCACCUACUCUUUGACACGAAACACCAUAAAAAGUCCUACACUACUGACAUGGUUUCAUUACCUACUCAGUGCGUUUUUCGCUUUAUAUUUUAACCACUAAGGACUGGUGGAGUACUGUCAGUGUUGGAAACCAACCA